CCACGCCCCGCCCCUCCCUCACGCUCCCGACGGAGGCUCCGCCCCCAGCCCGAGACUUGGAGGCGUCCGACCCCCCGAGCGAACGCCCUUUUGCACCCCUCUCCAAGGAGGGCUCGCGGGGUUCUGCAGGGGCGAGUUUCGGUGUCUAAAGCCUUCCUUUUCCCAUGAUGUGCGCAUAGGUCUCUUGACUAUACCACAAAUGGAAGGAUGUGGGAAAAUAAUCGCUGAGGUCCCUUCCAGGUUUAAAGUUCAAUAUUAUGAAUGAUCCCCAUGGUGCUUCCUCAAUGGUAAAGAGAAAAAAAAAAAGAAAAAGAAAGAAAAGGAGGAAAGCAUCCCUUGGAGUACCCCGCUCAGAGACUGGCACGAAGGGAGUGCAUAUCGUUGUUGAACAGGAAAAAAUAAGAUCCUUUUGGAGCUUCGGCUCUGAUGACUUAUGCAUCUGGAACGUUCCAUGGGAUGGAGAACGGCUGGGCAGGGUGGACCGCUGAGGACAGAGAACUGACCCAACAGACACCUGAUCUGACAGGAGCAAGUCCUGCAGAACCUGCGCUGGAGAGAUUUUGGCGAUCACCCAGCCGCAGUUCACCACCCUGGCUGCACUUAGACGUACCUGGGAGCUUAAAAAAAUAUUCGUUUCUGGAUUCCAUCCCUGGAGGUUUAAUUCAAGUGGUCUGGGGUAGAACUCUUUCUGAAGUUCUAUGAGAAAGAAGAGCUAAAUGUCACCCAUGACUGCAGACCUCCCUGGGGCCUCAAAGUCAGUGCAAGAGAUGAAACAGCACCUGGAGGCUGAACAGUUUUGGCUGCAUUGGAUCUUCGUUGCUGUGCGUGGGCUUUCUCUAGUUGCGACAACAGGGCAAGAGAAAAUGACCACGAUGAGCCUGGGAGAAUUUAAGGUAGGAGGUGAAUGGUAACUGGAACUCCAUCCCAUGAUGUUGAACCCAGGAAGGUAGAUAACAGAGUCAUGCACUACAUGAUGGGUGGGUGAAAGAACUUCAUUGUGGACAGAAUUUAGAACCACUAUGAGAAAUUAAUUGAGUUUAUUAUAAUAAUUUUGGAGCAGCACUGAAGUUAGAAAGAACAAAUUGGCAGUGGAUACAGUCAAUUGCUACUAGCAGCCCAAGAUAAGGAAUAGCAAAAACCAAAGAUGCAUUUGCACAGUUCAAUGGAAAGUCAAGGAACAGGGAAAUCUAGGAUACCAGGGAGUCUUACUCAGUGAAGAGAGCACGUUUGUCUCACUUACUAGCUUGCUUACUGUGGACUCCGUGCAGGAUGGUAUCCAGCAAUUAAGGGAGAUAAAAUAUUUACACCAUUGAAAAAAGGCACUCGUUAACUUUUAUGAUGUACUCUUUCAUCUAGUUUUAGCUCUGAAACACAGGAAUCACUUUCCUUUCUUCUUCGCAUUUGCUCUGGUGAUUAAAAAGAACAAGAUGUUUCUGGAAUCAUCCCUGUGGAGAGAGAGGGUGGUGAUGGCCAUGGGAAAAAUGGGAAGUAGAAAUUCUAGAAAAAUGAAUGUAUCUGCAUUCGCAUUGUGAGGAAGGAACCAGGUGUGUGUGUGUUCUAAGCACAAGUGCUGAUGGUUUAAGAUGAGGCAGUGCAUGAGUCACACGGAAGGAGAGGAUUUAUAAAGUGAUGGUGAGCAAGGAGAUCUGGGCAGAAUAUAGGGUGACCAAUUGUCCCAAGUGCCCAGGAUGGAAGGUGAAUAUGGGACUUUUAGUGCUAAAACAGGGAAGUUCCAGAGUGAUCAGGAUGUUUGAUCAGCCUAAUAUGUGCAGAGAAACAUGAACAAGUAUAUUAAAUAUCCGUUUCUCUUUAAAUUGAAUAGUUUCAGAACUCCUGGAGACUUUGUGGAAGAUGGCACCCUAGGGAGCCCCUGAGAAAGAACAUUUGAGUUACAUCGGCAGAGUAAGAUUGUUAACUCCAGGAACUGAACACAUUUCUAAAUUGGGCUUCUUUAAGAUUUCUAAAACUUCCAAGUAAUUGAUUUGAAGCUGAAAGUAUAAGCUUAGCCUUUAUGAUGACAUCUUAGGUAAACUAUCCUAUUGCUCCAUUUUAAAACAUAUUUUUAUUAGAACCUGAAAGUGUCAUUUAAAGCGACUCACCAGCUUUCUUGCAGUACAGUUCACAGGAUACUAGGGGAAAAAAUUGAUUUUUUUUUUUCCUCUCCACCCUCCCCCAGCUGAGGAAACACUGUGCUGGGGCCCAUCCACUGUCUCCAAUAAGCAGGUGAGAUGCUUGCAUGUUUCAAAGGCUAAACAAAACAUAAACCAGGCCUUAUUAGCCUGCUUUGGUGCUGAUCUGGACCAAAAGCUGAAUAAAAUGCAUGAACAUAAUAGAAACACUGUAGAUAAAUCCGACACAGAAGAAACACACAUAUAACAGAAACAUAAUUGUCUUCAAUUUGCAUAUUCACACUGGAUCCUAAGAACCUGGAAUGAAUGGAGCCUUUUCUUAGA